rnacentral:rRNA from 1 species
GUGCCAGCAGCCGCGGUAAGACGAACCGUGCGAACGUUAUUCGGAAUCAUUGGGCUUAAAGGGCGCGUAGGCGGCGGCGUAAGUUGGAAGUGAAAUCCCAUCGGCUCAACCGUGGAAUAGCUUUCAGUACUGCGUCGCUCGAGUGAGAUAGGGGUCCGUGGAACUACCGGUGGAGCGGUGAAAUGUGUUGAUAUCGGUGGGAACGCCAGUGGCGAAAGCGACGGACUGGACCUUUACUGACGCUGAGGCGCGAAAGCUAGGGGAGCAAACGGGAUUAGAAACCCUUGUAGUCC